rnacentral:tRNA from 1 species
AAAAUGGAAGCUUUUUAAAUGAAGCGUUAGAUUUUUGAUCUGGAAAAGAGGUGUGUCCUUUCAUUUUA